GCCUGGGUGGCUCAGUUGGUUAAGCAGCUGACUUUGGCUCAGGUCAUGAUCUCACAGUUCAAGAGUUUGAGCCCUGUCUCAGGCU
rfam:Felis catus isolate Cinnamon breed Abyssinian chromosome A2, whole genome shotgun sequence.